AUUAUUCACAACAGCCAAGAUGUAGAGGUGAUUCAAAUGUCCAUCAGUGAAUGAAUAGAUAAAGAAAUGUGGCAUAUACAUACAAUGGAAUCUUAGCAUAAAAAAGAAAGAAUUCCUGUCAUAUGCUACAGCAUAGAUGAACCUUGAGGACCUUAUAUCCGAGGAUGAACACACAAGAGAUUCACAGGAACAAACCAGACCACUGACUUGCUGCACCGAAGUUGCAAUACUUCUGAGACGUAGAUCUCCUUAUUAAUCUAGCUGAGUGUUUUGUUACCUGCAGCACAGAAACACUUUCCCUGAAAAACAGAUACAACUUUUAAAGCAUAAUUUUUAUUCUUUAGGUAGUCUGAUCCCACCCCACAGGCCUUGGAAGCCUGAGGCAGUAUUCUUCUGGGAUAUUUCCAACUAGGCUUCCCAUGAGCAUGUUAGAGCCAGCCUAGCUGGUGAAUUUUACUUCUGUCACCUCUCAGAGGGAAGAGGUCUGAGAGGCUCAGGCCUCUUCCAGCUUUUGAGGAUUCCAGCAUAGUAGAAACAUAAAAAGGUCCAAAGAGAAUUACAAAAAUCAUCUAAGUUCUUAUACUUAACACGUCAAUGCUUACUAAAAAAAUCAAUCAAUCA
rnacentral:antisense_RNA from 1 species